AAGAGAGAGAGAGUGCUGCGAAAACAGAAUGUAGGGUUGGUGUUGGCGGGAAUGGGGGGUGAUGGGUUUCAAAAUUAUUGUUUGGUGGUCAUAGUGAAGUAUGCCAAUUUGGUAAUAGCAGCGGGCAAUGGUGGUUUCAGAUGCCAAUUUGGUACUGUAUGUGGAGGAGCAAUUCAAUCCAAGUCCAAGGAAUCUCUGAUCGGAGUAAGGAAUAUUCCGGCGAGCUAGGUCAGCAGCACCAACGAAGAUCUGCUUCCACACGCAUCUUUGCCAAUCUCAAUCAACUAUACAAAGCUCAAAGGAAUAUCAUUUUGUGUGCGGCAACAAUUCUUCUAUAUUGGUCUGUGUACCGCAUCUGUAAGUUUUACAAGGAGAUUCAGAGCUUAGAGGCAGCACAGAAGAGAGACUCCAAAACCUGUGGUGAAGAAAGAUUCAAAUGGUAAAUCAGAAUCUGAUUUGAAUAGGUUUUGCUUUAGUUAUGACGAAAGAUGCUGGGGAUGCAAUUACUAUUGCUGCAAUCCCUUGCUGGCUCUACAUUUUAAAGCAGUCAGCUUCUUUGUAUGGGUUUUGGGUGUAACUGAUGCUAGAUUGCUAUAACUGAGAAAAAAAGCACAAAUCCAAGGUUUGCUGAUUUGAUUAGAAGUAAGAGGAAACCUAAAAGAAUAACCUUUAAAGGCUGAUACAGAGUUGAAAGAAGAAGUAAAACACCUCAAAAGCAUGCUCAAACAACAAGCUAUUCAAAUGGCAGAACAAAGAAGACAUUUCGAGGAACAACAAGCUAGUCAAAUGGCAGAACAAACACAUUAUGACAAUAUGAUGAUGCAAAUGUUGAGUUAUAUCAUCUCACAAUCAGCUCAAUCUAGUAGUUAUCACUAAGAUAUGAAGAUCAACUCAAGCUAGUCACUUGUGGGGUGUGUUUGAAUUGGAUUAAUCUGUGAAUGUUUGUGUGUUUUUGAUGUUUUGUUAGUCCCUUAGGUGUAAUCUAUCAAGCAUGAGCAAUGAACCUGAUUGGGUUAUGUAGACUCGGAAAUUAUUCUUUGGGUGAAAGUUCUACUAAUUUUAGUUACUCAAAACAUGGCUGUAUGUGAUGAGAGAUUCUAUGUGACAUAAACACCUCAGACAUUUCAGAUUACUGCAUGCUGUCUCUUGUUCUUUGUCUAAUAUGUCUUUCUACUUAAUCCUUGGCUGAACAAUUCUGCAUUCCAAA